rnacentral:rRNA from 1 species
UACGGAGGGUGCAAGCGUUAAUCGGAAUUACUGGGCGUAAAGCGUGCGCAGGCGGUUUGCUAAGUCCGUUGUGAAAGCCCCGAGCUCAACUUGGGAAUUGCAGUGGAUACUGGCAGGCUGGAGUACGGUAGAGGAAGGUGGAAUUCCCGGUGUAGCAGUGAAAUGCGUAGAGAUCGGGAGGAACACCAGUGGCGAAGGCGGCCUUCUGGACCAGUACUGACGCUCAUGCACGAAAGCGUGGGGAGCAAACAGG